AAAUAGAGCCCUUCUGUAGGGCGCAAGGACCAUGGCUGUCCUGGGGGGACUCUGCAGAGCCUGCAUCUUCUGGUCACAACCUUGAGGACAAACGAGUUGGGACUCCAGUUGUGGUACGUGGGACACCGCCCCAGCAUGGCCUGAAGAGUGGUGCUGUGUCCGCGCCCAGGAUCUGAACCGGAGAAACCCUGGGCCGCUGAAGUGGAGCGCACUCAGCCACGGGGCCGGCCCCCAGCCCUGGUCACUUUACAAGUCAGUGAAGUGAUGGUCCUGGAGAGGGGACCCCAGGAGGUCUGGCCCCUGCCUCUUGUCACCAGCUGGGGAGCACUGACCUGUGUGGUUCCCAUGGAGGGCAGAAGCCCCUGAUGGACCCUGGUCCCCGGGAGGCCUCAUCCCCCGUCCCAGCACCCCUCCUCAGACCCAUAAGGAACAUGGGAGAGGCCACACAGAGGCCAGCUGGCUCCAUUGCAGGGCGGCUCGGAGCACUGGUCAGGGUCAGAGAAAGCCAGGAAUGGGCAAGCCCUCAGCAGGCACCUGGCACACAGUAGGCCCUUAAUAAACUUUUGCAAGUCA